CUGGACUCUAGUCCGCUUUUUAUGUUGGACACGGUCUGAACCCGGUUCGAGUCCCGUUUAUGGCACCCAGAGUGAUGGCGGAGCAGUUGACUGGGCCCCAGUCGGAGACGGGAACCUAUCUGGGGCGGGACCCAGUCUGACCCGAGACACAGUUUGCCGUGGGAACAGGUUUGCAGGGGUGGGGCGGGGUGGGGGGUGCCGUGUGGGGUAGGUCCCCGUCUGACGUCCACUCAGUGCCAUGUGGGAACCUGCCCGAUGUGGGAACCCGUUUGAAGGGGGACCCCGUGUGACGGAGGACCCAGUCUGGCGUGGGACUCCCGUCUGGCCUGGGAACCGGUUUGCGGUGGGACCCGGUUGACGUCGACGCGGUCCGCCGUGGGAUCCGGUCUGACGCAGGCCGUACGUACGAGACCGGGCCCCGUGCGGUGCCGGCGCUUUCCAGACCCGGUCCGGCCCGAGGGAGAGACGCGCUCACGCUCACGUGAAAAGCUCGUGAACGCAAGCACCGCGCCGCCGGGAUCCUGAGCGGGACUCAGCACCUCGGGAGGCGGCGACAGAGCCUUGAGCCUCGGGGUCCACAGUCGGGCAGCUGAGAGAGUCAUUACUGUGAUCUGUGGGACAUUCUCUACAUGAGCUGGUAUUUCUCUUCCUUCUCCUCAGUCUCUAAGGUGGAGAAACGGAUUUUUCUGAGGAUGUUGGAAAGGGUUGCAGAAGAAAAGUUUAAGGAUGAGUUGAUUUCCCAGCUACUGUAUUUCCUGACCUCAGAGGACAGAACUCCCGAAACUAGCAUAACAAUGGUCCCUGUGAAAUCGGAGUUAUUUAAAAACAAGGUGAUAAUUUUUCCUAAUCUGAAUUAA
rnacentral:lncRNA from 1 species